rnacentral:rRNA from 1 species
GAUGAACGCUGGCGGCGUGCCUAAUACAUGCAAGUCGAGCGAACACACGAUGAGCUCGCUCUUUUGACGUUAGCGGCUGACGGACGAGUAAGACGUAGAUAACCUACCUCUAUGACGGGGAUAAUUACGGAAAACAGCAGCCACUACCAGCUAAUACAAUCAACGGCUUGAAUCAAUAGUGCAAGAGGGCUUUCCCGUCACUUAGAGAUGAAUCCGCGCCGCAUUAGUUAGUUGGUAAGGUAACGGCGUACCAAGGCAACGAUGCGUAUCCGACCUGAGAGGAUGAUCGGCCACACUGGAACUGAGACACGGUCCAGACUCCUACGGGAGGCAGCAGUGGGGAAUCUUCCACAAUGGGCGAAAGCCUGACCGAGCAACGCCGCGUGAGUGAAGAAGGUCUUCGGAUCGUAAAACUCUGUUAUUGGGGAAGAACAGAUGUGGAAUUAACUAUGCACGUCUUGACGGUACCUAAACAGAAAGCCACGGCUAACUUCGUG